CAGCAGCCGCGGUAAUACGUAGGGUGCAAGCGUUAAUCGGAAUUACUGGGCGUAAAGCGUGCGCAGGCGGUUCUACAAGACAGAUGUGAAAUCCCCGGGCUCAACCUGGGAGCUGCAUUUGUGACUGUAGAGCUGGAGUGCGGCAGAGGGGGAUGGAAUUCCGCGUGUAGCAGUGAAAUGCGUAGAUAUGCGGAGGAACACCGAUGGCGAAGGCAAUCCCCUGGGCCUGCACUGACGCUCAUGCACGAAAGCGUGGGGAGCAAACAGGAUUAGAUACCCCCGUAGUCCCUGUCUCUUAUAC
rnacentral:rRNA from 1 species